rnacentral:lncRNA from 1 species
UUUUUUUUUUUUUUUUGUUUUGUUUUGUUUUGUUUUUUGUAGACAGGGUCUUGCUAUGUUGCCCAGACUGGUCUUGAACCCCUGGGCUCAAGCAAGCCUCCUGCCUUAGCCUCCCAAAGUGCUCAGAUUAUAGGCAUGAGCCACCACGCCCAGCCUAGGUAGGAUAUAAUUUUACAGACGGGAAAAGGAGGCUUGGAAGGUUAACUAACUUCCCCAGAGUCACAAAGCCAGUAAGGCAUGGCUGUAGGAGUUGAACCCAGUUUGUCAGACUCCAAAGCCCGUGAUGUUCUCUUACCUGUUCUUUGACCUGAGGCAAAGAUCCCAAGAAGUAGCAAGCAGGCUUAGGAGUGAGUCCUUCAGGUAGAGGGUGGACUACAUAAGCCCUAAGUCCCUCCACUUCCCAGAUUCUUCUCUGUGAGCUGCUUUAGGGAAGGCUCGGGAUCACACAGGUGUCUUCUUUGACUUCAUAGCACAUAUGCUUCUAGGCUGCUACCCCACCCUCAAUAUGUCCCUUCUUAUAAACUUGCUCAACUUCCAGCUCUGAUCUGGCCUCAGGUCAGAGCUCUGUGAAGGCACAACAGUAAAUCCCAACUCAUCCCCAGAUCACUGCCCUGUACCUCUGCUACUCUUCAUUGACCUCAAACUAAGAAUAGUUAAAAAGAGAAGCAAAAUGUGAAGUGCUAUGCAGAUAUGUAUGUGGACGUUGUUUUGGGAGAAAAAAGUAACUCUUGGAUUGGUAAAGAUCAGACAUGGGACCUAACAGGAGAAGAAUCCAGCCAGUAUUCCUAGCCAAGUAGACAGCGCCUGAAAUCUCAGCGACACAGAGCUGUGUGUGUGUGUGCUCAGACAUGAGAAAAAGCCUGUGUCAGCAUUUAAUAUCUACAAAUUUCCCCCUCAGCUGCCUCAACUUCAGGGCAGUUUCUAAGUCAGGAUGGAAAGACGGAAGGUGGGUUUUAGACCAAAGGGCAUCUCCCAGAGUGAUUCACUGACUCGGGUUUCUCUCCUGGGGGGUGAGGGUGGCAACAGAACUGAGAAGCUGCCUCCUUCUUGGCCUCUUCCCAGACGUCGGUGUGGCAACCCCUGCUGCAACAUCAGUGGCUACCUUUAUUGUCUGUUUCUUCUUCUAAAAUAAUCAAGUUAUGUUCAAAUGUUAAUGGCAGCAUAAAGGGAAGAGAAGGAAAAUAACUUCUUGAGCCAGAAGAGUGGAGCUGACAUGUUAAUAUCAGGGAUAGAGUGGAGCCUUUCAGUUGUAGAAAUGAAAGCAGACCUUUAGAAACAUAUCCUCAGUUAGGGAGAUUAAGGUGAUGGGACAAUGGCUAGGGAAAAAAAUAGCCCUAAAUAAUUACUUCCCAUUCGCUUUCCAUAUUUUUAAAGCUUUGGAAAGCAUAAACGUAAUGCAAAGUGUCUCUAUUUCCUCGGGUUGGACUCUGCUGGCCUGAGAGCCAGGCCCUCUGACUUUCAGUGUUUCCUUUGUCUUUUAAUUCUCCCGCUAAAAUUUCAAAGCCUUUCACAGCCUUGGCUUCAGGUAUUUGUGACUGAAGCAAUUCCCAUUCAUGGCCAAGCCUCAUUCUCUUCUCCAAAUCUGGUAACUUGAACAGCCCUGAUCCAAGCCCCUGGUUCUAGUAAGACGCUUGUUCUCUGGCCCCUCUUUCAGUCUAUUUCACAGAGCAGUCAGCUGCUUCUUGCUCCUCAUAAACUUGGUUUCCUUCCUAUAUAUUGCAUCCUCUCAUCUGCCUGAUGAAAACCAAGUCCCAGUGACAUGUUUCUAGCCUAAUUUUUGUCCUGAACUCCAUGUUGGUAUUACCUUUUCUCCCUCAGUCUUCAUCAUUAGUAAGCAGCACCACUAGGUACCCACUCAAGCCAAAACUUGGAUUACACCCUCUCUCUCAUGUCUCCUCCCCAAUCCAACUGCAAAGCCCUACUAAGUCUACCUCUAAAGUAUUCAGCUGAUUUACUUACUCAUGUCUCUGCAUCUCCACAGCCACCAGCACUGUCCACGUCACAUUGCUCUCAUCUGUCUCCAUGCUGCUUCUCCUGCUCUCCUACAAUUUGUUCUCCCAAGAAGCCAAGAGUCAUCGUCAUCUUUUAAAAGUUAAUUCACCAACAUUUACUACCUACUCUGCUUUGUCCAGCACUGUAUCCUCAUCACCCUAAACAGUGCCCCAAACAUUAGACAUUGCUUAGUAAAUAAGAAAUGACCGUUGGACAUCUAUAUUGGAUUUCCCAUCCGUAUCUAAAUCAUCACAGGGCCAAUGCUAAAACUUUCUCCCAUAAAGUCCCAGCUCAUAUAUUUCUAUUUUCUGGUCACGUAGACAUAAAACCUCAAGAGUUUUUAGUACUUUCACAUAAGCUCAAUGGUAUUAAAUCAUUAAAGAUUUCACUUCCACAAACUUUCUCAUAUCAUUUCCCUCUUUUUCAAUUAUCACUGCCUAUACUUAUUAACUGAGUAAUCACAGCAAUUUUCUAAUUGGUCCUUCUAUGUUCUGAAGCAUCAAUCUUUCUAAACUGCAGCUAAUAAAAAACAAAACUACUCUGAUUUUUUUUUUUCACAGAAUACCUCAGUCUGGCAUUCAAGGCUCUUCAAAGCCUUACUUUCCACUUCGUUCCUACACAUACCCCAAUGGAACUAUUCACUGUUCUCUGGGCAAGUUCGGCCCCUUUUCUCCCAUGUCUUUUCAUUCCCAGUUACUACAGUGUCUGGCACAUAAUGGCUCAAUAAAUGUUUGUUGAAUGCCUUCUUGUUGAAAUGCUGCUCACACUACAACGGUUCAUCUUAAACACUACUUUCUUCAUGAAAACCCUAACGGCCCUCAUCCACAGGUCUUUCCCCUUCCUUUUCUAGUCCUUAUGGCACUUAAACCUUUCACUGCUAUGUAUCAUGGCCACGCGCAAGUGUCUCACUCUUCUGUGAGCCUGUAAGCUGGCAGAAAUGUUUCUUUGCUUUUGUGUCUGUUGCAGUAUCUCAAUCUCCCCACCCCACCCCCAACAGCAGAUACCUAAUAAAAGUUUGACUUUAACCACUGUAACUCUAAUUCUAGAAUUCCACUUUGUUCUUCUUUAUGGAUUCUUUGCUUAGGAAAGAUAACAUUUCCCCCUCCAUUAGCAUAGUGGUGUUUCUUAGGUUUUAAAUAUCCAAAGCCAAUGGGUGGGUGAGUGUAUGAGCCCCCGAACAAUGUCUCUUCCCAAGCUGCCAAACAAAAUGUCACAAUGGUCCUUGGUCUUAUGGUCAUCAGUUAAGGAACCAAAGCAUGUGGUCAGAAGUUGUAAAAAUAAUAAUAAAUGAAGCUUUAUAAAAAAAUUAAAACGUCUCACCCACUACAAAUGCUGAGCUUUUCAGACCAGAGUCAGCUCAUAAACAAAUGUACAGAGAGGAACAGGUACUCUUGAGAGCAGGUAAUUAGGCCCCAGCACCUCAGAUGCCUCUGUAAAAGCAAAAGGCAGUAGGAUCACCCUUCUUCUCAAGAGUGUGGGAGCACAGGAGAGUAAGGCCACCCACAGUGCCUAGUUUUGCGCUGGCCAUUCAACAGUCAUAAUGUGUUCCUUUCAGUCCAGAUCCCAAAGAGAAAAACUUUCCCGAUUUACCUGAAAAAGUAUAUACAUGUUGCUGGGGGUGGGGAGGAGGGGCCAUUGCUAAGAUCUGUACCAAAAGCUCUGCCAGGCUCUAUCUGCAUGGCUAAGAAAGGAAUCCUGUGAAUCUUCAAAGGAUUUUUGUGCAAGCUUGCAGAUGGGAGGGGUAAGCUCAGUCACCUCUGAGAUCUGAAGGAGAAGAAGGAAUUUUCAAAGGAGCCACUGGGAAGAGAACUAAAAACAAAGGGGCUUCCGUGGCUUCUUUCCUCACCCUUCUCCAUUCCCUGCCCUCAAAAAACUGUCCCACUAGUUACCUGGGAAAACUGGUUACAUGUUUCUUCUUCUUUUCAGACUGACUACUCUAACUCAAAUCUCAAAGGUCCCUCUUCACUUCUUCCCACACAACCCAAAGGAUUUGUAGUCUAGGAAACCAAAGAAGUGUUUGAUCAAUAAAUCAAUUUAUUUAAAAGAAUAUGUUACAAUUAAUUACACUAAGUGACAUUACCAAACAAUUUUAGAGUGGUUAGCUCUAGAACAAGGAAUGAAAGAAACACUGUUAGCCAUUAUUGUGUCUGUGUAUUUUCUCUUCACAUUUCUUAAAUCACAAAUAAAAAAUACAAGAUACUGCAGUGAAAAUACAAUUAGAGUUUCUCUGAAAUAAAUUAAAUGUGCAUGGCCUGGGAAAAACUGAAGCCCAGCUCACUGGCUUAAAAGGGGGUCAUGAUAUAAAAUUAAUGUCCAAGUUUAGCAGGUGGCCAAGUGCCUCCACCCCAUAUCACUCCCCUCUUUGAUUCUAUUCCUUCCCACAGCCCUGACCUU